AGUGAACGCUGGCGGUAGGCCUAACACAUGCCAGUCGAACGGCAGCACAGUAAGAGCUUGCUCUUACGGGUGGCGAGUGGCGGACGGGUGAGGAAUACAUCGGACUCUACUUUUUCGUGGGGGAUAACGUAGGGAAACUUACGCUAAUACCGCAUACGACCUACGGGUGAAAGCAGGGGAUCUUCGGACCUUGCGCGAUUGAAUGAGCCGAUGUCGGAUUAGCUAGUUGGCGGGGUAAAGGCCCACCAAGGCGACGAUCCGUAGCUGGUCUGAGAGGAUGAUCAGCCACACUGGAACUGAGACACGGUCCAGACUCCUACGGGAGGCAGCAGUGGGGAAUAUUGGACAAUGGGCGCAAGCCUGAUCCAGCCAUACCGCGUGGGUGAAGAAGGCCUUCGGGUUGUAAAGCCCUUUUGUUGGGAAAGAAAAGCAGCAGGUUAAUACCCCGCUGUUCUGACGGUACCCAAAGAAUAAGCACCGGCUAACUUCGUG
rnacentral:rRNA from 1 species